UAUCUAAAAUUAUUUUUUAUCAGUAAAGAAAUAAAUAUGGCGUCAGGAUACCACUGUGCAUAGGAGUAAGUCGAACUGAUUACAGACCUGACUGUCAAAGCCGAGUUCACAAAGCUCCGAGAGAAUCUGAGCUUGCAUGAUGAUGUGCCAUUUUGUUUCCUGGGUGCCGGGAUCUGAACUUGUGUGGGGCCCUCAUGACUGCAUUCUUCAGCCACUGGAUCUGGCAACUGUUACAAGCCCAUCUGUUAGCAAAGACUUGGAUGCUGGGUCUGGGGCUUUAGGCCAAGCUUGCCCUUUAAUAAUUCUCAAGGGCUACUGGCCUAGGUAGGUGCUCAGUACACCUCUCACCCUAGUCUUCACUGCCAUUACCAGGAACACUUGGACGGUGUUGAGACUAUAGUCUAGGCAGGAGUUGAACAAAUACUACGGAAAAGAACACAGAGUUUACAGAACGUUGGUUUAAGAAAGUUCUCUCACUUCAGCUUUCCUAAGAGGUGGAAGCAUGGUGAUGCACACCUGUAGGCUCAGCACUCGGGCGAGCCCACCUGAAAGGGAAAAGUGUAGAAUUUUUUUGAGAUAGGGUCUCACUGUGUAGAUCUACCUGACUAGCCUGGAACUAAACUCUGUAGACUAGGCUGGCCUCAGACUCAGACCUCGUAUAAAACUAAUUGUAACUGAGUUUCCUUAGAGGCAGAGGAUUAAGCAGCAGCCAACAUCCUCCAUAAUGAGAUUUGCUUUCACUUUCAAGAUGCAGAAUUGUAUAGGCUUCAGUUUUCUUUGAAAGUGUUAAGUCUUUUCUUUUUACCCAAAUCAGGGAGGGGAGAUCUGCCAUUCCAGGGCUGGUAUGAGUGGCCCUUGUCCUGGGCAAACAUCUUAUACUUUGGACUAGAAAGAUUUUGGCUCUUUGAAAUGGCUGUGCUCCAGCUUCAAGGUAGCCCCACAGCAGUGUCUCUGCAACUUUAAGCCUGACAGACCUACUGCUAGGGUUCAGCUUGAGGGACUGCCUAACCCAAUGAAUGGCAGGGACCAAAGAACAAAUGCCUCAGUAGCCAAGUGACAUGUAAGUCGUAGGAUCUGUCCAGAGUAGGGUUGAGAACAAAACUGAUUAGACUUAAGAUCCCGGAAAUGUAAAUUGUUUUAAUAUUUUUAAAAGCACACAGAAAUCUUGAUUUAUUAAAAAAAUAAAU